rnacentral:rRNA from 1 species
AUUGAACGCUGGCGGCAGGCCUAACACAUGCAAGUCGAACGGUAACAGGAAGAAGCUUGCUUCUUUGCUGACGAGUGGCGGACGGGUGAGUAAUGUCUGGGAAACUGCCUGAUGGAGGGGGAUAACUACUGGAAACGGUAGCUAAUACCGCAUAACGUCGCAAGACCAAAGAGGGGGACCUUCGGGCCUCUUGCCAUCGGAUGAGCCCAGAUGGGAUUAGCUAGUAGGUGGGGUAACGGCUCACCUAGGCGACGAUCCCUAGCUGGUCUGAGAGGAUGACCAGCCACACUGGAACUGAGACACGGUCCAGACUCCUACGGGAGGCAGCAGUGGGGAAUAUUGCACAAUGGGCGCAAGCCUGAUGCAGCCAUGCCGCGUGUAUGAAGAAGGCCUUCGGGUUGUAAAGUACUUUCAGCGGGGAGGAAGGGAGUAAAGUUAAUACCUUUGCUCAUUGACGUUACCCGCAGAAGAAGCACCGGCUAACUCCGUG